GACGAACGCUGGCGGCGUGCUUAACACAUGCAAGUCGAACGGAAAGGCCCCUUUGGGGGUACUCGAGUGGCGAACGGGUGAGUAACACGUGAGUAACCUGCCCUUGACUUCGGGAUAACUUCAGUUAACUGGGGCUAAUACCGGAUAGGAAUCCUUGCUGCAUGGUGGGGGUUGGAAAGCUUCGGCGGUUUUGGAUGGACUCGCGGCUUAUCUGCUUGUUGGUGGGGUAGUGGCUUACCAAGGCUUGGACGGGUAGCCGGCCUGAGAGGGCGACCGGCCACAUUGGGACUGAGAUACGGCCCAGACUCCUACGGGAGGCAGCAGUGGGGAAUAUUGCACAAUGGGCGGAAGCCUGAUGCAGCAAAGCCGCGGGCGGGAUGACGGCCUUCGGGUUGUAAACCGCUUUCAGCAGGGGCGAAGCUUGUGGUGACGGUACCUGCAGAAGAAGCACCGGCUAACUACGUG
rnacentral:rRNA from 1 species